GAUGAACGCUGGCGGCGUGCCUAAUACAUGCAAGUCGAGCGAACAGACGAGGAGCUUGCUCCUCUGACGUUAGCGGCGGACGGGUGAGUAACACGUGGAUAACCUACCUAUAAGACUGGGAUAACUUCGGGAAACCGGAGCUAAUACCGGAUAAUAUAUUGAACCGCAUGGUUCAAUAGUGAAAGACGGUUUUGCUGUCACUUAUAGAUGGAUCCGCGCCGCAUUAGCUAGUUGGUAAGGUAACGGCUUACCAAGGCAACGAUGCUUAGCCGACCUGGGAGGGUGACGGCCCACACGGAAACUGGGCCACGUUCCAGACUCCAAGGGGAGGCAGAGGAGGGAAUCUUUCGGAAUGGGGCGAAGGCUGAACGAGGCAACGCCGGGGGGGGGAGAAAGGUUUUGGGUCGGAAAAACCCGUUUAUAGGGAAAAACAAAUGGGGAAGGAAACAAGGAAGGUUUGACGGUAACUAAAUAGAAAGGCAACGCUAACUUAGUG
rnacentral:rRNA from 1 species